rnacentral:rRNA from 1 species
AACGUAGGUGGCGAGCGUUAUCCGGAUUCAUUGGGCGUAAAGAGCUUGUAGGCGGCGUCAUAAGUUGGACGUGAAAACUCCGGGCUUAACUUGGAGAGGCCGUUCAAUACUGUGAGGCUAGAGGGUGUCAGAGGGAAGUAGAAUUCCUGGUGUAGCAGUGAAAUGCGUAGAUAUCAGGAGGAAUACCCGUGGCGAAGGCGGCUUCCUGGGGCACCACUGACGCUGAGAAGCGAAAGCAUGGGGAGCGAACAGG